rnacentral:snRNA from 1 species
GGAUGUGAGGGUGAUCUGGCUGUGACAUCUGCACCCCAUUGAUUGCCAGGGUUGAUUCAGCUGAUCUGGCUGGCUAGGUAGGUGUCCCCUUCCUCCCUUCCUCCCUCACUGCUCCAUGUGCGUCCCUCCCAAAGCCACGUGCUCCGUUGAAGAGGACGACCUUCCCUGAUAGAGGAGAGGACCAUUCUGCAGUCAAGGGUAUAUGAGUAGGUGUGCUCCCCUGCUAGGACCUCCAAACAAGCUCUGAAGGUCCAUAAAUAAAUAUUUAUGAUCUUUAAGUUAUAAUUAGAUUUUAAAGAAAUCUGGCCCAGCAUUUCUCAAA